rnacentral:rRNA from 1 species
GACGUAGGGCGCGAGCGUUGUCCGGAUUUAUUGGGUGUAAAGAGCUCGUAGGCGGCUUGUCGCGUCGUCCGUGAAAACUUGGGGCUCAACCCCAAGCUUGCGGUCGAUACGGGCAGGCUAGAGUUCGGUAGGGGAGACUGGAAUUCCUGGUGUAGCGGUGAAAUGCGCAGAUAUCAGGAGGAACACCGGUGGCGAAGGCGGGUCUCUGGGCCGAUACUGACGCUGAGGAGCGAAAGCGUGGGGAGCGAACAGG